GAUGAACGCUGGCGGCGUGCUUAACACAUGCAAGUCGAACGGGAAACCUAUUAUUGAAACUUCGGUCGAUUUAAUUUGUUUCUAGUGGCGGACGGGUGAGUAACGCGUGGGUAACCUGCCCUGUACAGGGGGAUAACAACCAGAAAUGGUUGCUAAUACCGCAUAAGCGCACGGGACCGCAUGGUCCAGUGUGAAAAACUCCGGUGGUAUAGGAUGGACCCGCGUUGGAUUAGCUAGUUGGUGGGGUAACGGCCCACCAAGGCGACGAUCCAUGGCCGGCCGGAGAGGGUGAACGGACACAUUGGGACUGAGACACGGCCCAGACUCCUACGGGAGGCAGCAGUGGGGAAUAUUGCACAAUGGGGGAAACCCUGAUGCAGCGACGCCGCGUGAAGGAAGAAGUAUCUCGGUAUGUAAACUUCUAUCAGCAGGGAAGAUAGUGACGGUACCUGACUAAGAAGCCCCGGCUAACUACGUGCCAGCCGCCGCGGUAAUAC
rnacentral:rRNA from 1 species